rnacentral:rRNA from 1 species
AUAAUGACGGUACUUGAGGAGGAAGCCCCGGCUAACUACGUGCCAGCAGCCGCGGUAAUACGUAGGGGGCUAGCGGUAUCCGGAUUUACUGGGCGUAAAGGGUGCGUAGGCGGUCUUUCAAGUCAGGCGUGAAAGGCUACGGCUCAACCGUAGUAAGCUCUUGAAACUGGGAGACUUGAGUGCAGGAGAGGAGAGUGGAAUUC